rnacentral:lncRNA from 1 species
UUAGUAAAAUAGGGUGUAAAAUGAUAGAACAAGUGAGCAAAGGAAUACGAGAUAAACGGUAAAAAUGUCAACAAUAACCAAAAUGUAAAAAAAGAAACACAUUACUUGCAACACAAGAAACUAACAAAUCACAUCAAAAACAGUAAAACAAACACAUGAUCAGAGGCAUAUUCAUCACAAAAUAGCAUAUCAAUCAUUCAUACCAUGCCAAGAUCUCAUGAACAAAUUAUAGCAAGAAAAUUCACAAGUUUAGACAAAGAAAGGGAGCAAAUCAAUCAAGAAAACAUCACAUAUGUUUUUAUCAUUUUUUAACAUGUAAAAACAUCACAAAAAUAUCAAAAAUGCAUCAAGAAACACAUAGAAAUUUUUAGGAAUUUUUACAAGAAAAUUUGAGCACACAGGAGGUUCACAUAGCAAAAACAGAGGGUGCACAUAGCAAGAAAUAGCAAAAACGCAGGAAACCACAGGGAAAAAAAAGGCCCAAGCCCAAGCCUAUUGGACCUGGACACUCAGGGAGCGUUGGAUUGAUCCAGGGGAUGAAACCCUAGGUCUAACGGCCAAGAUCAAGGGAAAAUGGACCGGACUUGGACCGGUCCGGUUCAGUG